rnacentral:lncRNA from 1 species
UUUUUUUGAGUAUCUGUAUAUUCUAAAAGUAGAUAGAUAUUUAAAACAGAAAAAGGAAAAAUAGAGAAAUAAAAAAUAAAAAUAACAAGAUAAAUAAAUAAAUAAAAAUAAAAAUAAAAACAAAAAUAAGAUAAAAAGUAAAAUAAGGAAACAAAAUAGAAAGGUGUGGAGGUGCUUAAAGAGGAUGUGCCAGCCGCUGGGUUAGACCCCUUCUUACCAGGCUUGGCAUCACCUACCACACCACGCCGUCAGCCGCCGUCGCAAGGGUUCUUCCAUUUCUUUUCCACGCGAGAGCCUCUCUCGUUCAUGCACGACGCGGACCGUUCGUCGUCGCAAGGAUGCCGCAGCCGCCGAGCUAGGGUCGUCGUUUUCCGUCGAGCCCGCCGCCGUCACCGUCCAGUCACCAGCAAUGAAAACCCUCUUCUCUUUUCCGCACUCGUGGUCUCCACCAAUAAAGGGGCCCCGAUUUCGAAUCAUACACUCUACGAAUUGGGGAAGUCCCAAUCAUAACACUCUAAAGCACAGGGAGAAGAGAAAAAGAUUCGCAAAACGAACAUCUUAUCUCCUAUUUCUAACAAUGCGGAGGGGGAUAUCAAGCUGGACCAUCUUCAUGAUUGAAGAGGAAUUUCUGGGCCAUGGUAACAAAAAUAGAAAAAGGGAAGAACAUGAGGCUUGUCCUAUGCGUUGUUGUGUAUGAUUGUGUUGAUGACUGGGAAAUGAUUCAUUUUUCUGUUUCAGGUAUUGGCCA